AUGCUUUCGCCGGAGCAUUCUAUGCUUGCCGGUGGAGCUGGUGGAAGCGGUGACGGUGAGUAUAAUCGACGGCUACAAAGAGGCGAUGAUGAUUUUAUCAUUCCCUUCUGAGCUCAUUAAUUAAUCGGGACAUUUUGAGAUAACCCGACCCGUAUCUUGGCGGGGCAAUGCCCUCAGGUUUACCCUGGUGGGUUUUGCAACCAUGGCGUCGUUGGACUCUCCUUUUGCCUCAGGUUAAACACAGAUCUGAGCCUCAAUAUAUGUACCAAUUUUAGAAAUUUCGGCUAAUUUUGGAAUGUGAUGUAGAGGAUUCAUACCGAUUUGUUAUGAGGCUUAGUAGUUGUUGAUGUUGUUGUUUUAUAUGAUGGAAUGAUUUGACUGCAUGAAUUGCAAAAUUCACAAUUUAGUUUUCUCUGUUUUAUCCAUUAAUGGAGCUCAAAAGGCCUAAUCUCUUGUUUCACUGGUUGUCAAAAUGGACUUUUUAGUUAUGCUUUUCAAAAUGCAAAGAACUCCAAAAACUGUGAAAGUCUCAUUAGUUUUAAGUCUGAGGCUGUGGUGAAUGCAGAUAGCUGUAGGGAGUUUUAAUGAGUGGUUUUGCCCCUCCCUGGCAUUCUCUGCUGCCAGUGAUCACUUAAAUGAGAAGUUUUCCAAUUACAAAACACUCUUUUGGUGAAAUUACAUAAUGACCUGGCUAGUUUCCUGUUCUUGUUAUACUCUUCGUUUCAAUGCAAUUAGGCUGUGAAGAUUUUAGUCUUCUGUGGG
rnacentral:lncRNA from 1 species